rnacentral:lncRNA from 1 species
UCAUUAAAAAUCUUUGAAUUGAAAAUUACAGAUUUUUUUCAACCAAACUUACAAAAUAUUAUUUACUAUGAGAAUAUUCAGAUGUUGACUUGUUCCCUCCCCUUCAAAUUACAAAUGACUGUUAGGUUGUCCCCAUGGCAUAGAUUGCUUUUCAGAGAAUAUUUUCCUUAGAGUCUGUCUGUGUUUUAGAGAAAACUACUAAUGUGCCCAUCUCUUUAUCCUAGGUAUUUAUUACAGUAUCAGGAGCCAAUACCUUGUGAGCAGUUGGUUACAGCGCUGUGUGAUAUCAAACAAGCUUAUACACAAUUUGGAGGAAAACGUCCCUUUGGUGUUUCAUUGCUGUACAUUGGCUGGGAUAAGCACUAUGGCUUUCAGCUCUAUCAGAGUGACCCUAGUGGAAAUUACGGGGGAUGGAAGGCCACAUGCAUUGGAAAUAAUAGCGCUUGGAAAUUGCAACACUAACAAGAGAGAAUGGAAAGACAGUAAUCAGAGUUCUCAAACAAAAAGAAGUGGAGCAGUUGAUCAAAAAACAUGAGGAAGAAGAAGCCAAAGCUGAGCGUGAGAAGAAAGAAAAAGAACAGAAAGAAAAGGAUAAAUAGAAUCAGAGAUUUUAUUACUCAUUUGGGGCACCAUUUCAGUGUAAAAGCAGUC